rnacentral:rRNA from 1 species
UACGUAGGGUGCGAGCGUUAAUCGGAAUUACUGGGCGUAAAGGGUGCGCAGGCGGUUCGCUAAGACAGGCGUGAAAGCCCCGGGCUUAACCUGGGAGGCGCGCUUGUGACUGGCGAGCUAGAGUGUGGCAGAGGGGGGUGGAAUUCCACGUGUAGCAGUGAAAUGCGUAGAGAUGUGGAGGAACACCGAUGGCGAAGGCAACCCCCUGGGCUAACACUGACGCUCAGGCACGAAAGCGUGGGGAGCAAACAGG